rnacentral:misc_RNA from 1 species
AACGCACAUUGCGCCUUAUGGUAUUCCAUAAGGCAUGCCUGUCUGAGCGUCAGCUCCCCCCCACUCAAGCUCUUUUGCUUGGAUUAUUUUGGGCGAGCAACUGUAAAAGGUUGCUGUCCACAAAUUCAUAGGCAGUAUGGUCUUUUCCAAGCUGAACGUAAUAAUUAAAAAAAUCACGUUUACUUUGAGAGAUAUUGUACUUGCCCUUAACCCACAAACUUUUUUAUGGGUGACCUCAGAUCAGGUAGGGAUACCCGCUGAACUUAA